GCUACGGGAGGCAGCAGUGGGGAAUAUUGGACAAUGGGGGAAACCCUGAUCCAGCGACGCCGCGUGAGUGAAGAAGUAUUUCGGUACGUAAAGCUCUAUCAGCAGGAAAGAAAAUGACGGUACCUGACUAAGAAGCCCCGGCUAACUACGUGCCAGCAGCCGCGGGAAUACGUAGGGGGCAAGCGUUAUCCGGAAUUACUGGGUGGAAAGGGAGCGUAGAUGGUAAUGCAAGUCUGGAGUGAAAGGCGGGGGCCCACCCCCCGGACUGUUCUGGAAACUGUGUAACUGGAGUGCAGGAGAGGCAGGCGGAAUUCCUAGUGUAGCGGUGAAAUGCGUAGAUAUUAGGAGGAACACCAGUGGCGAAGGCGGCCUGCUGGACUGUAACUGACGUUGAGGCUCGAAAGCGUGGGGAGCAAACAGGAUUAGAUACCCCGGUAGUC
rnacentral:rRNA from 1 species